GGUUUCUCUGUGGCUUUGGAGGCUGUCCUGGAACUUGCUCUUGUAGACCAGGCUGGUCUUGAACGCACAGAGAUCCGCCUGCCUCUGCCUCCCAAGUGCUGGGAUUAAAGGUGUGCGUCACCACCACCCAGUAAGGACCUCUGACUUGUACUGGGAAGGAAUCUUGCCCUCUCAGCAGGGGCUGAAAGCAGUCAGUGUACCUCCUGAGACAUGGAAUUCACUGGGUGCUAGACGGGAAAGUGAAAUGGGCCAGUUCCAAAUCCUUGGAGGAAGCCAUGUGUGACAGCCAUGUGUGGCUAACUUAGCCAGGAACUGAGAGGACCUGUCUAGGCUUUGCAGCCACUGUGAACUUCUCAUUUCAUUGUGAUUUGACUUGUGUUCCCACCAAAAUGGCCUGUGGAAGUUCAAUCCCUGUCAGAACGCUCUUAGUUAGAAUUCUGCUGCAGGCAUAAUUCAUUAAGAUGAAGUCGUAUAUAGUGAUUCCCAAGCCAGUGUGAGUGGUGACCUUCUAAGAGGAGAGAAGACACAGACAUGAUGGAAGAUGGCCAGUGAGACGGAGACUAAGGUGGUCCUGGGACCGUGUGAAGCAGGAAGAGUCUUGCAGACAACCACAGCUGUGUGAGUUGAUGAGCGAAGCAUCCUGUCACAUCCAGAAGACUCUCUUUCAGCUGUCCUUCCCAGCCUGUGGCUCUAACAAUCCUUUCCCCUUGAAGGGACCAGCCCCCCAUUUCGGCAGCCAUGACAGUAACACGUGCUCGCUAUGACCUUGUCUUAGUCACUAGAGGUUAGGUGCCUGCCUCGUGACAAGGAACCAAUCAGAAAUUAGCUGGUGGCGCUAUGCCUUACGACCCUGGGUGUACUUUACGGACAAGCGCACAGCAAUGAUGCACAGAGCAUAGCAACCACCCUGGGAGGGCUUAUGAGCCAUAACAACCAGUUGGCCAAUCAACACAGGGCAAGCCCUCCAAGCCUGGAGACACACCAAUCCUGAGCCUCUAUUGGUGUCUGAAGUUGAGACCUCUGGGGCAGCUCUUUAUUGAGUGUGUGUGUAUGGGUUACUUUUUGUUGCUGUGACAAAACCCUAUAAGCAAAAGCAACUGCACCAAGACAGGAAGUGCACAGUGGAAGAAACAGGAAGCUGGGUGAUGACAUUUUCACCUGCACACAGGAAGCAGAGCAAGGGAACAGCAAGGAGGAUGAGGCUAUAAAUCCUCAAAACCCACCCCAGGGAAAUACUUCCUCCAGGUAGAGGGCUGCACCUCCUAACAAUUCUGUAACCUCUCCAUAUUGGACCACCAACUGGGCACCGAGCAUUCAAAUACAUCAGCCCAUGGGAGACAUUUCUCAUUGAAACUACAGCAGAUGGUGUGAGGCUUCGGGCCUUUCCCUGCCUCCUUUUCAGCUCAGCAUGAUCUUGACAUUUAGCAGAAUGACAAGUAGCAACAAUCCUUGGAAAAAUAGCAAGCUGGAGGCAAAGCAGCCUGAAUGUGAGUUUGGAAAUUGUGGAUGAAAGAAUUCCUGGAGCCUUUAUCCAGUAACUGAUUGAAGCAGAAGCAGGCACCCACAGCUAAGCACUGAACCAUACUCCUGGAAUCCAGUUGUGGAGAGGGAGGAGGGAUGAGCAAAGGAGCCAAGACGGUGCUGGAGAGACCUGCAGAAACAGUUGACCUGCCGAAGUGAGAGCACAGAGACCCUAGUCGUAAAUCUGGGGAAACAUCAUUGGACCAAACCAAGCCCUCUGAAUGUGGGUGCCAGCUGGGAGGCCAAGACAGUCUAUGGGACCUCUAACAGUGGAGCCAGUGUUUAUCCCUAGAGCACAAAUGGAUUUUGGGAGCCCAUUCCCUAUGGAGGGAUACUGUUGCAGCUCAGAUACAGCAAAGAG
ensembl:lncRNA